rnacentral:rRNA from 1 species
UCCAGACUCCUACGGGAGGCAGCAGUGGGGGAUAUUGCACAAUGGGGGGAACCCUGAUGCAGCGACGCCGCGUGGGUGAAGAAGUAUUUCGGUAUGUAAAGCCCUAUCGGCAGGGAAGAAAUUGGACGGUACCUGACUAAGAAGCCCCGGCUAACUACGUGCCAGCAGCCGCGGAAAUACGUAGGGGGCAAGCGUUAUUCGGAUUCACGGGGUGUAAAGGGAGCGUAGACGGCCAUGCAAGCCUGGAGUGAAAGCCCGGGGCCCAACCCCGGGACUGCUCUGGGAACUGUGCGGCUGGAGUGCGGGAGGGGCAGGCGGAAUUCCUGGUGUAGCGGUGAAAUGCGUAGAUAUCAGGAGGAACACCGGCGGCGAAGGCGGCCUGCUGGACCGCGACUGACGUUGAGGCUCGAAAGCGUGGGGAGCAAACAGGAUUAGAUCCCCCGGUA